CACUAUGCCUAGCCCUAAACAUCGGUAGCAUUCUACAGCUGCUACCCGCCUGGGUACUACGAGCAUCAGCUUAAAACCCAAAGGACUUGGCGGUGCUUUAGAUCCACCUAGAGGAGCCUGUUCUAGAACCGAUGCCCCCCGUUCAACCUCACCCUUUCUUGUUUUCCCCGCCUAUAUACCACCGUCGUCAGCUUACCCUGUGAAGGCCUCAUAGUAAGCAAGAUUGGCACAGCCCAAAACGUCAGGUCGAGGUGUAGCGCAUGGAAGGGGAAGAAAUGGGCUACAUUCCCUCCCCUCAGGGAAUUACGGACGAUGUACUGAAAUACAUAUCUGAAGGAGGAUUUAGCAGUAAGCAAAAAAUAGAGUGUUUUGCUGAAAUUGGCCCUGAAGCGCGCACACACCGCCCGUCACUCUCCCCAAGCUCACACCCUAAAGUAAAUAAAACCCUAUAUCUGCAAAGGGGAGGCAAGUCGUAA
rnacentral:rRNA from 1 species